rnacentral:rRNA from 1 species
CACGUAGGGCGCAAGCGUUGUCCGGAAUUAUUGGGCGUAAAGGGCUCGUAGGCGGUUUGUCACGUCAGGAGUGAAAACUCGGGGCUCAACCCCGAGCCUGCUUCUGAUACGGGCAGACUAGAGGUAUGCAGGGGAGAACGGAAUUCCUGGUGUAGCGGUGAAAUGCGCAGAUAUCAGGAGGAACACCGGUGGCGAAGGCGGCAUCCUGGACCGACAUUGACGCUGAGGCGCGAAAGCUAGGGGAGCAAACGGG